GAGGCACUACGGUGCUGAAGUAACAAAUGCCCUGCUUCCAGGAAAAGCCUCUAAGCAUCAGGUAACAUCAAAUCGUACCCCAAACCGACACAGGUGGUCAGGUAGAGAAUACCAAGGCGCUUGAGAGAACUCGGGUGAAGGAACUAGGCAAAAUGGUGCCGUAACUUCGGGAGAAGGCACGCUGAUAUGUAGGUGAAGCCCCUGCGGGUGGAGCUGAAAUCAGUCGAAGAUACCAGCUGGCUGCAACUGUUUAUUAAAAACACAGCACUGUGCAAACACGAAAGUGGACGUAUACGGUGUGACGCCUGCCCGGUGCCGGAAGGUUAAUUGAUGGGGUUAGCGGCAACGCGAAGCUCUUGAUCGAAGCCCCGGUAAACGGCGGCCGUAACUAUAACGGUCCUAAGGUAGCGAAAUUCCUUGUCGGGUAAGUUCCGACCUGCACGAAUGGCGUAAUGAUGGCCAGGCUGUCUCCACCCGAGACUCAGUGAAAUUGAACUCGCUGUGAAGAUGCAGUGUACCCGCGGCAAGACGGAAAGACCCCGUGAACCUUUACUAUAGCUUGACACUGAACACUGGUCCUUGAUGUGUAGGAUAGGUGGGAGGCUUUGAAGUGUGGACGCCAGUCUGCAUGGAGCCGUCCUUGAAAUACCACCCUUUAAUGGCUGGUGUUCUAACGUAGACCCGUAAUCCGGGUUGCGGACAGUGUCUGGUGGGUAGUUUGACUGGGGCGGUCUCCUCCCAAAGAGUAACGGAGGAGCACGAAGGUUAGCUAAUCCUGGUCGGACAUCAGGAGGUUAGUGCAAUGGCAUAAGCUAGCUUGACUGCGAGAGUGACGGCUCGAGCAGGUGCGAAAGCAGGUCAUAGUGAUCCGGUGGUUCUGAAUGGAAGGGCCAUCGCUCAACGGAUAAAAGGUACUCCGGGGAUAACAGGCUGAUACCGCCCAAGAGUUCAUAUCGACGGCGGUGUUUGGCACCUCGAUGUCGGCUCAUCACAUCCUGGGGCUGAAGUAGGUCCCAAGGGUAUGGCUGUUCGCCAUUUAAAGUGGUACGCGAGCUGGGUUUAGAACGUCGUGAGACAGUUCGGUCCCUAUCUGCCGUGGGCGCUGGAGAAUUGAGGGGGGCUGCUCCUAGUACGAGAGGACCGGAGUGGACGCAUCACUGGUGUUCGGGUUGUCAUGCCAAUGGCACUGCCCGGUAGCUAAAUGCGGAAAAGAUAAGUGCUGAAAGCAUCUAAGCACGAAACUUGCCCCGAGAUGAGUUCUCCCUGAGACUUUAAGUCUCCUGAAGGAACGUUGAAGACGACGACGUUGAUAGGUCGGGUGUGUAAGCGCAGCGAUGCGUUGAGCUAACCGAUACUAAUGAACCGUGAGGCUUAACCUU
rnacentral:rRNA from 1 species